GUAGGUGGCAAGCGUUGUCCGGAAUUAUUGGGCGUAAAGCGCGCGCAGGGCGGUCCUUUAAGUCUGAUGUGAAAGCCCACGGCUCAACCGUGGAGGUCAUUGGAAACUGGGGGACUUGAGUACAGAAGAGGAAAGCGGAAUUCCAAGUGUAGCGGUGAAAUGCGUAGAGAUUUGGAGGAACACCAGUGGCGAAGGCGGCUUUCUGGUCUGUAACUGACGCUGAGGCGCGAAAGCGUGGGGAGCAAACAGGAUUAGAUACCCUGGUAGUCCACGCCGUAAACGAUGAGUGCUAAGUGUUAGGGGGUUUCCGCCCCUUAGUGCUGCAGCUAACGCAUUAAGCACUCCGCCUGGGGAGUACGGCCGCAAGGCUG
rnacentral:rRNA from 1 species